rnacentral:rRNA from 1 species
GUGGAUUAGAUACCCUAGUAGUCCACGCCCUAAACGAUGUCAACUGGUUGUUGGGGAUUUACUUCCUUGGUAACGUAGCUAACGCGUGAAGUUGACCGCCUGGGGAGUACGGCCGCAAGGUUAAAACUCAAAGGAAUUGACGGGGACCCGCACAAGCGGUGGAUGAUGUGGAUUAAUUCGAUGCAACGCGAAAAACCUUACCUACCCUUGACAUGGCAGGAACUUUCCAGAGAUGGAUUGGUGCUCGAAAGAGAACCUGCACACAGGUGCUGCACGGUCGUCGUCAGCU